UGAAAUUCAGAAGUUUCAGCACAAAAAUAAAACCACCUCCACGAGAGGCGUACAGCUCUUACUGGUGAUGCUUUUUCAGUGAUGUGCAAGUGAAGACCCGUUCUUCCUGUUUCUAGAGCUUUUAGCCUCCGGAGGAUAUUCCACAAUGCCUAGGUGACCACUCUGGCCAGCAGGUCUGCUACUCUGAUGCCAGGAUUAUUUUUGCUGAGCGCAAUCCGAGUGGCCUUCACCUUAAUUGGAAACUUUGGAAUUAUAGCUUCAAAUGCAGGUGGGGAGGAUUUGACCCUUCAUUCAUUCUUUCAAGCUGAACUGAAGUCUCCUUCUCCAUUCUCCUGUCCAGCAAACUUUGAAAGAAAAUAAAUUUAAAAGGGACUGCCAAUGCUUCUGCCAUGUGCUUCAGUAAUUCCUGAAAGACUUUUAAAAUCAUCAAUUGCUGCAGGCACAGUGGAUGAAAUAAUCUCCAAAAGUGAAGAACAGCAACCAUGUGGAGGUCCAGGAAUCUCUUCAUCACUAGAAUUCUGCUGAUCCUCUGUUUCCAUAAUCUGAACAGGAGAAUAUGACACGCCUGAGAACCUGAAUUAGACUGGCUCUUUUAGAUGGAGGGUUCCUGUUGGAGUCAGAAGAUGGAAUCCUUCUACUGAUGGGACAACAACAGGAGAUUUUAAAAUUUGAAUAGCGCUUCUAUUCUCAACCCUGUUAUGUUGAAAAAGAGAAACCUUCAACAUAGGCAUGCUUCAUUCCUUGUGAGGAUGAGAUUUAGACAGUGAAGAACUAGAAAUGCCUGUACCAAUGGUGACCCAUGCUCUGGAGUUAUUCUGAUAUCCACGGAAAACAUAAAUGAAUCAUUUGAUGCUGUGGAAUCUCCUUCAGAAGACAUAGGAGUGGAGGAAGCUUGUCUCAUUUAGCUGCUUUGAAGGCAAAGAAACUGAAACUGCUGGAAAUAAGAGAGAUGCUCUCAUCAAAGAUGGUGCCGGGGCAGAUCACGACUGAUACAUCAGUACUGAGAGGGAUAGUGCCAGAAAGUCCUGAACCACAGUCUUAAGACCUUGGUCCACACUGAGACCUUGAUCCUCUGCUGCCAGUGUCCUCUGUCAAUGUGAGCUCCAGCACUGACUUCUCCGGUACCCACUUCAUCAAGUCCUUUAAAGGAGACUUUCUCCCACCAAGCAAUGGAAAUUGAGCGUGGUGCCAAAUAAUGGAUUUAGAGUCUCUCACUUUUUGGACAGGAGGGAUAUCUGACUGCUCUGAAAGCACAGGUGAAGCCUCUUUAGAGCCUCCUUAUCUCUUGAGAUCAAAGUCACAUCCCAAUUGACUGGAGCUUGAAGAACUUUCCUGAGCAUUUUUUUUC